GUUAAAAGCUUUGAAGUGCAGUAUUUCAAUGCAGCAGGCAGAACUGUACUAACCUCUUCCCUAGUGUUUCACCCAGCUAAAAUUUCCCAGUCAUCCCGAGGGUGUGUUAGAAAGAGAGAGCUCAUUUGCACUCAGAUAAAUUGUCCGGGAAAAGCUGGGGAUUUCAUACGUGACAACAAGGAAUUAAGAGUUCAGCACGGAGCAGACAUGGUAAUAAAGGUCGUUAUGAUCAUCCUCCUCGCAGCAAACUUCGGGCACAACUUCCCUGUAACUAACAAGAAACUGCCUUCCACAUAUGAUGACAAGGAGUGUCCUCCCGGAUUCUUGCCCUGUAUUUCAGAAAAAGACAGAGACGUUCCGGGUCCAGCCAGGGGGAGGAGUUCUCCAAGCCCAGCUUCUCCCAACACAACUACUGCAAAUGCCACUGAGGCGACCGCUCCAACCCCAUCUCGUGCCAGGAAUCAUGGCGUUACUGAAACGACAAGCAAGGUUCCUCCUGGGGAAAGCAUGGAGGGGACAUGGGACUCUAAAGAGGGCGAGCAGCAAGGAAGACACAUAUGUCCCCCUGGGAUAUGGGUUUGUUAAGCAGGCAAGAAAAUACUCACAACGCCAUCUCAAAUUUGCCUUUCUGGAAUUAAGUGCAUUAUUUUUGGCUUACUAAGGCAAACUGUGUGACUAUGAGACAGAGACAGAGAAAAUAAAUUGACGGAGAGUUCAAACAGCACUUUAUUUUGAGUGCAAGUAUAUCUGUUUAUUCCAAGUAGCUUUAGAAAGACGCGCGACAAGGCAGAAAGCUUGUAAGUAUGUCAUGUGACAACAACAGAGUUCACCGAGUGCCAAUUUUCUUCUCAGUUAACCUGUUAUGUUUUCUCUAUUUAUUUAUUUUGUUCGAGUGACUUUUGUUGGUAGUUAUAUUUAAGUUUAUGUUAUAAUUGAUGUUAGAAAGAAAAAAGUAGAAAAACCGAAACACACGCUAACAACUAGUAUUGAGCAUAAAAUUUAUUUGUUCAAACCUUGUAUUUUGAACUUUAGUAAGACACAUUGUUUUCUUUUCGAAAAUCAUGUUCAAAAAAGAUUGCUGGAUUAUAGAAAAAGUACAGUGAUGCAUGGUUUCGUUUCGAAAAACGAUAAGUAACAGAUCAUAUGAGGAUGGCUAAUGCCCGGGGGGGGGGACUCCCAAAUAAAAAGGACGGGGGUGCUAGUCGGAAAUUUUGAAAAGAACCUUUAAGAGGUACCAAAAUCCUACUUUGUGGGCGUAGAUUGAAAUGUUUUUCACCCCUAAAAGGUACUAAUUCUUUAACAACACAUCUCUUGUCACAUUUUUUUCGGCUCAAUACCCUAAAACGUAACGUAAAAGCUCCCGCUGUGGAACUUUUGAGGCUGAACACCCUGAGAGGUAGCAAAACCGCUGUUUUACCUCCUAUAAGGUACGACGAGCACCCCCGUCCAUUUUAAAUGGGAGUCCCCCCCGGGGGGACCGGCUAAUGACGUAGACGAUUGAAAUAAAAAAACUAACAACAACAUGCA